UAGCCUAGUGGCUAAGGCUAUGGAUCGCCAAUCCGGAGACGGCGGGUUCGAUUCCCGU
rfam:Aedes albopictus isolate Foshan contig59951, whole genome shotgun sequence.